CCCACAAAAACAAAUAAGCAUUUUAAAAAUUGGAAAUGAUGGAUGAACUAGUAUAUGGUUGAUUUUGGCGGAUGUAAAUUAAUACACUUUGACAUCAGACGACUAGUUUGCAAGGACUGCUGCGCACCCGGAUGUAGACAACAACAACAACAUCAAGAUCCAACAGCAGCAGCAGCCUUCAAAGGUGCAACGGACCAGAUGGCGCUGUGACAUUCAUUUUCAGUUCUGUGCAAGGAACCACCAUCAUGCCAUGGACGAUGCUGAUGUCAACAGCAGACGAACAAUUAUUCUGCAGGCCCUUCUAAUCUUCCUGCAGGAUGACCUGGAAUGUAGAAGAAAUUGACCUGCCUGACCUCUCGGAUGCAGCUGUACCUAUUCUCCCUUGUGAAGUUUGGUCAUGCUAUCCAUUCUAUAGUUCUUGAGGGAGCUAUUGUUGAGUGUGAUAUAACAGAGUUGACAGAUGCGUUAAUUUUACUGUUUGCCUUAAUUUAUGCACUUCAUGUCGAUUAUCCAAAGCAAUUGUCUUACGCAUUUAAUUUCAUUCAAAAAUUAUAAUAGGUUUGGAUGACCUGAAGUCGUUACCUCCUAGACUACUUAGCCUUAAAAAUGAAUUGCUGAUGAUGGAUGAGUAUG